GUGAGGUUGCCCCAGCCCAACUUGGAAGAGAUUUGAUUUGGUUUCUCCUAGAGGAGGAGGAAUUGGAGUCCCAUGGACAGGGGUGACAAUGAGAAGGGGACUGAACUGCCUCUUGGUUGGUGAUGUUGGGCCAGUGACCACCUCUCAAUCCAACGUACCUCAUCCUAACAAAAACACCUUAAAGAAAAAGAGGUAAGCAAGUAAGUAAGUAAGUAAAUGUCACACUGGGGCAGUUUUGGGUUGGGGGCACUGCAGAGUGAUUACCCAAAGCCUGGGGCUUUGGGAGGUAUUUCAGGGUGCCUUUUGAAUCAGAUAUGGGCAAGUGGGUGAACUCUUGACAGCAACACCUAGGGCACAUGUUCAGCUCAAAGGCCCAGGGCUCACCUAGGGAGAGGGAAAUUUCCCUAAUCCUAUUGGCUGAGGAGCCACAGAAUGUUGGUGCUCACAUGCCCAGGGGGACACAAAGGACACUGCCCUCAAACCUCACCUGCCCUCACUUCUUUAACUGGCUUGUUAUUCUAUGGAUCUUCUUAUUGUUUUAUCUGAAAAAAUAUACCGUAACCUUUCACCAAUGUACUGCCUUUUGAGGUCAUGCGGGCAAUGAGUAGUAAACCAGAAAAAGUAGCUAUCAGAGAACCUCUAGAGCUUGGUAUGGAGAUGUUCAGCUUGUCACAGAGGAAACAUUCCCCGUUUCUUCCAUGGUUUGACAACUGGUGGUUGGCUUGUGAGCAGACUUCCUCAUAGUCACAGUGACUGUGCUGCUCCCAGGAUGUGCCCUUCACAUGCCUUUGUUUAUCUUAUGGGAUUUGUGAAGCCUGUUUUCAUCUCAGCAGCGUAGCAGACACCCCAGGAAUAAAAUCAGCAGGACAGGUUCUUUGUUAUUAGAAGUCUGUCAGUUGAGAGCAAAGUCUCUUUCAGAGCUUUUGUUGUUGAACUAGUUUCAUUCACUCAGGGACACAUUCAACCAACACAGUUAAUAACAUGAAUAUAACAUGAAUAACCUAUAAGGAAGGGUGUGUGUGAAAUCUUUAGAUUAAAAAUAAAAGCACAUAAAACUUUUAAAAGCCCAGAUCAGCAGGCUUUCAUGCAUCAUACUGUAGAUUCACAUAUGACCAACAUCACACAUAGAUAAGAUCAAGGAAUUAUCAAGGGAGACUGGCAAAACUGGAAUCCAUUUUUAAAAACAGUGUUUUUCAGGAUUCCAAUUAGGAUUAUUGCACAGUUUAGGGAGUUCCAUUCUGUACCCAAAGGUUUGCACAUGUUAGAGGAUUGAUCACCCCCGCUUUUCAGCAGUAGCUAUCAUGCCUGCAUUGCAAAUUCCCAUGUUAUAUUACUUCCUUCCCAUGUUGAUGUUCCUGUCUGGUGAAAGGUUGCAAUGGAGAGCAAGGAUGUGAGUGGGGGAAUCACAAUUCCACUGGACUUGUGGGAUUAUCCACACAAUUCUUCAUCAGACAUUGUUUUAAGGCUAAUUCUCCCAUCCUCAAAAGCAAUUAUGUCCCAUUUGGCGUUCCUGCAAUUGCUUGAUGCUUAGGUUUUGAUGCUCCAUCAAAAUGUUAUCUUUAGUACUUUGCUUCCAACUUGAUUUAUACUUCACUACAGCUAAGCCUAGGUUAGACAUGUGUGUGUGUUUAUUUACAAUAUUUAUGUAUUGCCUUGUAACCAAAAAGCAAACAAAAUACACCCUUAUUUACAUAGUCAUGACUGGACCUAAUGGUCAGGGGUCCCUUUACCUUUGGGCAACAGUUAAAACACUUAGGUUCUCACUAUACAUAGUUCAUCUCCCUUUAUCAGAACUGGCACAGUGAAGAGUCCCAGAUUAGGCCCAUUGCCAUCAUUUGAUGGAAGCAGAGUUAGCACAGGAUCCAGCGGAUUCAGUGCUGGCCCAGUCCCAGCUCUGUAAACAUCCCAUUUGGCAGGAUGCUUCCACCCACCCACAUUGAGACCCUGUGAAUGCAGAAGGGCCUCCUGCCAGCUGUGGAGUCCAAUGGAGCUGGAUAUCACUAGGUGGAGAGUACCUCUGCCCCAUCUAAACCCCUUCAGAACAGUAGAUCAGGGGGUUGGAGUGCUCUGCCCAGCUGCAAUCUUAUACCCACUUACCUGCGAGUCAACCCCAUUGAACUCAGUGGAACUUUACAUCUGAGUAGAAAUGCAUAGGAUUGCACUAACCCACAUCUGUGCGUACUUAUUUUAUUCCAUUUUCAAAAUAGCAAAUACAGGGAGUCCCAAUCCAGAGAGCAAUGUUGACUGUCACUUAGAUUUGUUUCAGAUUGUUAUCACACUUGGUAGAGAUACUGGCUGAGGUUGAAAUUUGAAAGCACUGGAAGAAGUCGCUUGUGACAUAAAUAAUUUGAAAUAAAAAUGUCACGGUUUUGACUUUUUGCAAAUGACUGCACUGAACUUCCAAACUGUUGCAAUUCAAAAAGCUAAUUCAGGAUUGUGUACAUUAAUGCCAAUGCCCUAUAAAACUGCCAGAAUAUUUUUUUAAAAAAUAAAAAAGUCAGCAAAGGCAGAGAGGCAUUAGUUUUUAGCCUGUGUCAGCAUAAAGGUUGCCUCAGUUGUUUCAUCUCAAAACAGCUGCAUGCUUUCAUUGACUUUUUUUGCCCUUUCUUUGUGCACUCAUCCUAACCUCUUAGGUUGUUUCCUGGCCUCACUUUGCUGACCUAUGACCGGCGCUGACCUUUAGCUAGAGAAUGUGACAUUUUGUUCUCCUCUGGCGGAUGUGUGAGGCUCUCAUUAUUGAAAGGUAUGUGAAAAUAAUGACCUCUAGUGACCUUUCAGUUUCCUUUCAUUUACUGGUGUCCUUUAGGUGCUUGUUCAGCAUAUUGCCAUGCCCAGUCGUUGUGUAUGUCUGCUUAGUGGUGCUAUAUUAAAAUUUCUUCAAUAAACAUGCAUCUCCUGUUUAUUAAUUCCAUGCUUCAUUUCUCUCCCUUAUUGCCUGUUCAAGCAAAUGCCAUGGAACCUGACAGGAAGGAACAGGUGGGCAAUUGGCUUCAUAGGAUCAGACGACUGCAGUGGAAUGAAAAGCAAGCAUAACCAAAGGAUGGUCCCAACCUAAGAUAUGGUAUCUGCCGGCUUCCAACAAAUUAACCUCACAAAAGAGACAAGAUCACAGCAGGAGCAAGAAAGGUGCGACUCUCCAAAAUGAGUGAAACAUGGGAACCUUUUCAUUUCAAGGGUCAUAUCUCCUCAGCUUACCACACUUUUGAGUGACAACUGAUCCAUGGUUAUUUGGUGUACCUUUGUGGACAUUUGACAUGCUGAUGAAGAACAUUUAUUGAAACAGUCUAUUAUUCCGGAAGUACUGUUCUGUUGCUGUGUUUGGAGCACCUACCAUCAUUCUUCUGUGUUGCUGUGUUUAUAGCAUCAUCUCGCUCCCCCUCACUUUUGGCAAAAUUCUGUAUUAACUUUGGAAGGCGUUUAGCCUCAAAAUUCAGUGAUUCUUUAUGGUCAGAUACUAAUCUGAUCAUUUCCUUUCAUGGAAUAUCUACUUCACUCUUAUUAGUUCGUGACUCC
rnacentral:lncRNA from 1 species